rnacentral:lncRNA from 1 species
CAUUUUAAACUGUCUUAUCAAAAUUAUACAUUGAUUUAAUCAAGGAGAGUUUUCUAGACUACCCAAUCUAUAUAUAGAUAAUUCUUAAAGCAGUAUCUAAACAAACUCCUUGGUUAUUAAACACAUAUAUCAAACAUUCAUGCAUUCAAACAAAAUCUGCUCAGUAAUGAAAUUGAAGAUAAAUUUACUUAUGCCCAACUUAAACAAGUUUAUAACAAUGUUCCAAAUUCUCCCAUUAAAACAAUAAAGUCAUUUCCUUUCUUUAACAGUACGUUAAAUUACUACACCUAAGUUACUAUAACAGAAGACCGUUAAACAGUAUAAGUUGGUAUCAUUUUGACUGAAAAACUAAGGGAAAAUAACCAUAAAGCAUUUUACAAUUAAGCAGAGUGAUUUUCAUGUAAAUUCAUCGCAAGAGACUAACCACAGCCGAGCUUGGGCACAAUUUCCCAAGGCUUCAUAUGCUUUGCCUCUCAAAAAACAUAUAGCUGAAGAGAU